CACGUAGGGCGCAAGCGUUGUCCGGAAUCACUGGGCGUAAAGGGCGCGUAGGCGGCUGAUUUAGUCGAGGGUGAAAGCCCGUGGCUCAACCACGGAAUGGCCUUCGAUACUGGUUGGCUUGAGACCGGAAGAGGACAGCGGAACUGCGAGUGUAGAGGUGAAAUUCGUAGAUAUUCGCAAGAACACCAGUGGCGAAGGCGGCUGUCUGGUCCGGUUCUGACGCUGAGGCGCGAAAGCGUGGGGAGCAAACAGG
rnacentral:rRNA from 1 species